GACGAACGCUGGCGGCGUGCCUAAUACAUGCAAGUCGAACGCUGAAGGAGUAGCUUGCUUCUCCGGAUGAGUGGCGAACGGGUGAGUAACGCGUAGGUAACCUGCCUGGUAGCGGGGGAUAACUAUUGGAAACGAGAGCUAAUACCGCAUAAGAGUAGAUGUCGCAUGGCGUUGGCUGGAAAGGUGCACCGGCACCAGUAGCAGAUGGGCCUGCGUUGUAUUAGCUAGUGGGUGAGGUAACGGAUCACCAAGGCAAGGAUACAUAGCCGACCUGAGAGGGGGAGCGGCCACACUGGGACGGAGACACGGCCCAGACGGCUACGGGAGGCAGCAGGAGGGAAUCUUCGGAAAUGGACGGAAGUCUGACCGAGCAACGCCGAGGGCGUGAAGAAGGUUGUCGGAUCGUAAAGCUCGGUUGUAAGGGAAGAACGAGCGUGAGAGUGGAAAGUUCACACUGUGACGGUAACUUACAAGAAAGGGACGGCUAACUACGUG
rnacentral:rRNA from 1 species